rnacentral:lncRNA from 1 species
UCACCAUCAAAGCUUCACCUAGAAAGCUUCAUCUACAAAGCUUCACCAUCAAAGCUUCACCUACAAAAGCUUCACCCACAAAGCUUCACCUAAAAAGCUUCACCCACAAAGCUUCACCCAAAAAACUUCACCCGAAAAGCUUCACUUAAAAAAGCUUCACCUAAAAAAGCUUCACCUAGAAAGCUCCCUCUACAUACUUUCACCAUCAAAGCUUCACCAUCAAAGCUUCACCUACAAAAGCUUCACCCACAAAGCUUCACCUAAAAAGCUUCACCCACAAAGCUUCACCCAAAAAACUUCACCCGAAAAGCUUCACUUAAAAAAGCUUCACCUAAAAAAGCUUCACCUAGAAAGCUCCCUCUACAUACUUUCACCAUCAAAGCUUCACCAUCAAAGCUUCACCUAGAAAGCUUCAACACAAAACCUUGCUCCAAAUAAACAAAUUUUGUUCACAAAACCCAAGAUGCCCUUGAACUUGUACAAAAACACUUGGGUAAACAUAAACAUUUUUUGUUUUACACCCACAAGGGCCCAAAAUUUUCCUUCUUAU